UGCCACUCUGAGAGAUGUCUACCCUCUCCA
rnacentral:piRNA from 1 species